rnacentral:rRNA from 1 species
UUGAGGUGCGGCAGCUUACACAUGCAAGUCGAACGGGCACCUUCGGGUGUCAGUGGCAGACGGGUGAGUAACACGUGGGAACGUACCCUUCGGUUCGGAAUAACUCAGGGAAACUUGAGCUAAUACCGGAUACGCCCUUUUGGGGAAAGGUUUACUGCCGAAGGAUCGGCCCGCGUCUGAUUAGCUUGUUGGUGGGGUAACGGCCUACCAAGGCGACGAUCAGUAGCUGGUCUGAGAGGAUGAUCAGCCACACUGGGACUGAGACACGGCCCAAACUCCUACGGGAGGCAGCAGUGGGGAAUAUUGGACAAUGGGCGCAAGCCUGAUCCAGCCAUGCCGCGUGAGUGAUGAAGGCCUUAGGGUU